GGAUGGAUGGUGUAGUUGGUUAUCACGUCUGUCUAACAUCUCGAUGUCCACAGACGGUCCUCAGUUCGAACCUGGGUCGCUUCA
rnacentral:tRNA from 1 species